rnacentral:rRNA from 1 species
CCUACGGGACGCACCAGUGAGGAAUAUUGCACAAUGGGCGCAAGCCUGAUGCAGCCAUGCCGCGUGUGUGAAGAAGGCCUUCGGGUUGUAAAGCACUUUCAGCGGGGAGGAAGGCGGUGAGGUUAAUAACCUCAUCGAUUGACGUUGCCCGCAGAAGAAGCACCGGCUAACUCCGUGCCAGCAGCCGCGGUAAUACGGAGGGUGCAAGCGUUAAUCGGAAUUACUGGGCGUAAAGCGCACGCAGGCGGUCUGUCAAGUCGGAUGUGAAAUCCCCGGGCUCAACCUGGGAACUGCAUUCGAAACUGGCAGGCUAGAGUCUUGUAGAGGGGGGUAGAAUUCCAGGUGUAGCGGUGAAAUGCGUAGAGAUCUGGAGGAAUACCGGUGGCGAAGGCGGCCCCCUGGACAAAGACUGACGCUCAGGUGCGAAAGCGUGGGGAGCAAACAGGAUUAGAUACCCGUGUAGUC